rnacentral:rRNA from 1 species
AAUGAACGUUGGCGGCGUGGAUUAGGCAUGCAAGUCGUGCGGAAAGGCUCCUUCGGGAGUACUCGAGCGGCGAAAGGGAGAGUAACGCGUGGAUAUCUACCCCCUGGACUGGGACAGCGGCGGGAAACUGCCGGUAAUACCAGAUAAUGUCUGCGGACCAAAGGUGUGAUUCCGCCGGGGGAUGAGUCCGCGUCCUAUUAGCUAGUUGGUGGGGUAACGGCCUACCAAGGCAAAGAUGGGUACCGGGUGUGAGAGCAUGGCCCGGCUCACUGGGACUGAGACACUGCCCAGACACCUACGGGUGGCUGCAGUCGAGAAUCUUCGGCAAUGGGCGAAAGCCUGACCGAGCGACGCCGCGUGCGGGAUGAAGGCCUUCGGGUUGUAAACCGCUGUCAGAGGGGAGGAAAUGCAUGAGGGUUCUCUCUCAUGUUUGACCUAUCCUCAGAGGAAGUACGGGCUAAGUUCGUGCCAGCCGCCGCGGUAAUAC